GUGCACGGACACGCGGUCGCCGUCGCACGGCUCCGGUCGCUGCGGCGGAGGAAAGUCCGAACACGGAAGGACACGGUGGUGGGCAACACCCACCGGCCCACGAUCUCGGGGCCAGGGACAGUGCCACAGAAAAGACACCGCCUCCAGCGGGUUCGCCCCGCUGGCGGUAAGGGUGAAAUGGUGCGGUAAGAGCGCACCGCUCGAGCGGCGACGCUCGGGGCAGGGCAAACCCCACCGCGUGUAAGCGCAAGCAGCCCCCGUGCCGCCUCGGCGGCACGCCCGCGGUCCGCGGGUCGCGGGGCGGGUAGCGUGCUCGAGGUCGUCGGCAACGGCGGCCCCAGAGAAAUGGCCGCGCCGUCCCGGCUUGCCGGAACGCGACAGAAUUCGGCUUAUGUCCGUGUGCGAUC
rnacentral:RNase_P_RNA from 1 species